UACGUAGGGUGCGAGCGUUAAUCGGAAUUACUGGGCGUAAAGCGUGCGCAGGCGGGCUUUUAAGCCAGACGUGAAAUCCCCGGGCUCAACCUGGGAACUGCAUUUGUGACUGUAGAGCUGGAGUGCGGCAGAGGGGGAUGGAAUUCCGCGUGUAGCAGUGAAAUGCGUAGAUAUGCGGAGGAACACCGAUGGCGAAGGCAAUCCCCUGGGCCUGCACUGACGCUCAUGCACGAAAGCGUGGGGAGCAAACAGG
rnacentral:rRNA from 1 species